GUGAUGCCUCAAGUAAUUGUAAAAUAUCAAGAGGCAUCAAAGGGGGGAAUGUGGUGGAAUCUCGGUAAAAAUAAAUUUAGUGGGCCGAGAUUACCACGUGGCACGUGCACGUGCAUAUGCUGACGUAUCGAUCAGUUGGUUGCACGAGGCAAGAUACGAUCAGUAGUGUACGGAGCAUGUGCAAGAAUACAGGAUGUAGUAUUCCCCUCCUCCAUUGUGCUGGACAAGCCAUGCGGUCAAGCAGGAAGUUAAUUCUUAUUUGUAAUGAUUGGUCAAGAGAAUGUGCGGGUGGAGCUUAAUGUGGGAGGAGUUAUGUGCCUAUAUAGGGAGCCUGCACUAUUGUUCAGGGCUCAGAACUUGCUG